rnacentral:rRNA from 1 species
GAUGAACGCUAGCGGCAGGCCUAACACAUGCGAGUCGAGGGAGAGGUUACCUUCGGGUAACCACAACCGGCGCACGGGUGCGUAACGCGUAUACAAUCUGCCUUUCACUUAGGGAUAGCCCGAAGAACUUUGGAUUAAUACCUAAUGGUAUAUAAGAGCGGCAUCGUUUUUAUAUUAAAGCUACGGUGGUGAAAGAUGAGUAUGCGUUCUAUUAGCUAGUUGGUGAGGUAACGGCUCCCCAAGGCGACGAUAGAUAGGGGUUCUGAGAGGGAUGUCCCCCACACUGGUACUGAGAUACGGACCAGACUCCUACGGGAGGCAGCAGUGAGGAAUAUUGGACAAUGGUCGGAAGACUGAUCCAGCCAUGCCGCGUGCAGGAUGAAGGUCCUAUGGAUUGUAAGCUACUUUUGUAAGGGAAGAAUAAGGAGUACGUGUACUUUGAUGACGGUACCUUACGAAUAAGCAUCGGCUAACUCCGUG